rnacentral:siRNA from 1 species
ACAAGCUAAUGGGGAUGUGGAUG